UACGUAGGUGGUAAGCGUUGUCCGGAUUUACUGGGCGUAAAGAGCGCGCAGGCGGUCGUUCAAGUCGCGUGUGAAAGCCCCCGGCUCAACUGGGGAGGGUCACGCGAUACUGAUCGACUCGAAGGCAGGAGAGGGAAGUGGAAUUCCCGGUGUAGUGGUGAAAUGCGUAGAUAUCGAGAGGAACACCUGCGGCGAAGGCGGGUAGCUGGGCCGACACUGACGCUGAGGCGCGAAAGCCAGGGGAGCGAACGGG
rnacentral:rRNA from 1 species